rnacentral:rRNA from 1 species
AGAGUUUGAUCCUGGCUCAGGAUGAACGCUAGCGGCAGGCUUAAUACAUGCAAGUCGAGGGGCAGCACGGGUAGCAAUACCUGGUGGCGACCGGCAAACGGGUGCGGAACACGUACGCAACUUUCCUUCAACUGAGGAAUAGCCCAGGGAAACUUGGAUUAAUACCUCGUAACAUUAUGAAGUGGCAUCACUUUAUAAUUAUAGCUCCGGCGGUUGAAGAUGGGCGUGCGCCUGAUUAGAUAGUUGGCGGGGUAACGGCCCACCAAGUCUGCGAUCAGUAACUGGUGUGAGAGCACGACCAGUCACACGGGCACUGAGACACGGGCCCGACUCCUACGGGAGGCAGCAGUAAGGAAUAUUGGUCAAUGGACGCAAGUCUGAACCAGCCAUGCCGCGUGGAGGAUUAAGGCCCUCUGGGUUGUAAACUCCUUUUAUCUGGGAAGAACUCCACGUUUUCUAAUGUGGUUGACGGUACCAGAGGAAUAAGCACCGGCUAACUCCGUGCCAGCAGCCGCGGUAAUACGGAGGGUGCAAGCGUUAUCCGGAUUCACUGGGUUUAAAGGGUGCGUAGGCGGGCAGGUAAGUCCGUGGUGAAAUCUCUGAGCUUAACUCAGAAACUGCCAUGGAUACUAUUUGUCUUGAAUAUUGUGGAGGUAAGCGGAAUAUGUCAUGUAGCGGUGAAAUGCUUAGAUAUGACAUAGAACACCAAUUGCGAAGGCAGCUUACUACACAGUUAUUGACGCUGAGGCACGAAAGCGUGGGGAUCAAACAGGAUUAGAUACCCUAGUAGUCC